AUUGAACGCUGGCGGCAUGCUUUACACAUGCAAGUCGAACGGUAACAGGCCUUCGGGUGCUGACGAGUGGCGAACGGGUGAGUAAUGCAUCGGAACGUGCCCAGAGGUGGGGGAUAACGCAGCGAAAGCUGUGCUAAUACCGCAUGUGAUCUGAGGAUGAAAGCGGGGGACCAGGCAGCAAUGUUUGGCCUCGCGCCUUUGGAGCGGCCGAUGUCAGAUUAGGUAGUUGGUGGGGUAAAGGCCUACCAAGCCGACGAUCUGUAGCUGGUCUGAGAGGACGACCAGCCACACUGGGACUGAGACACGGCCCAGACUCCUACGGGAGGCAGCAGUGGGGAAUUUUGGACAAAGGGCGCAGGCCUGAUCCAGCAAUGCCGCGUGCGGGAAGAAGGCCUUCGGGUUGUAAACCGCUUUUGUACGGAACGAAAAGGCUCUGGCUAAUACCUGGGGCUGAUGACGGUACCGUAAGAAUAAGCACCGGCUAACUACGUG
rnacentral:rRNA from 1 species